UACAGAGGACCCAAGCGUUGUUCGGAUUCACUGGGCGUAAAGGGUGCGUAGGCGGUCGGGUAAGUCUGAUGUGAAAUCUCACAGCUUAACUGUGAAACUGCAUUGGAUACUAUUCGGCUUGAGAGUUGGAGGGGGGACUGGAAUUCUUGGUGUAGCAGUGAAAUGCGUAGAUAUCAAGAGGAACACCAGUGGCGAAGGCGAGUCCCUGGACAACUUCUGACGCUGAGGCACGAAAGCUAGGGGAGCAAACAGG
rnacentral:rRNA from 1 species